AGACCGACAAGAUCAAAUCUGGGUGGGGAGAGUGACAGAGCAGCGCUUGUCCCUCCCUCAUUAGCACCACUGAGGUGCCCUUGAGCAAUGCCCUUAACCUCCAACCACUCCAGUGGAGUUGCUCAGUGGCUAGCAGAUCAGACUCUGGUUUUACUGGGCGAGCUUCCCG